AUUGAACGCUGGCGGCAGGCCUAACACAUGCAAGUCGAGCGGAUGAAGGGAGCUUGCUCCUGGAUUCAUCGGCGAACGGGUGAGUAAUGCCUAGGAAUCUGCCUUGUAGUGGGGGAUAACGUCCGGAAACGGGCGCUAAUACCGCAUACGUCCUUAGGGAGAAAGUGGGUGAGCUUCCGACCUCACGCUAUCAGAUGAGCCUAGGUCGGAUUAGCUAGUUGGUGGGGUAAAGGCCUAACAAGGCGACGAUCCGUAACUGGUCUGAGAGGAUGAUCAGUCACACUGGAACUGAGAAACGGUCCAGACUCCUACGGGAGGCAGCAGUGGGGAAUAUUGGACAAUGGGGGAAAGCCUGAUCCAGCCAUGCCGCGUGUGUGAAGAAGGUCUUCGGCUUGUAAAGCACUUUAAGUUGGGAGGAAGGGCAGUAAGUUAAUACCUUGCUGUUUUGACGUUACCAACAGAAUAAGCACCGGCUAACUUCGUG
rnacentral:rRNA from 1 species